rnacentral:lncRNA from 1 species
CCUUGGUUCACACGCUAGGAAAGAAAAGGGAUGAUCUUGGUCUUGGCGUGAACUUCCACAUGAACGUGACUCCGUGCCUACCUGCUAAUAAGAGCGGGAGUGUGGAUUGUGCACAUAGGUGGGGACGGGGUGAGAACUUGGGGUGUGGCGUGUCCCUGUGGGUGGACACAUUGUGAACAGUAAGUAUCAUGAAUGUGUGACAGCAUGUGGGGCACGUGGGUGAGCGUGUAUGCAUGUACACAGGCUGUCUGCUCAGGUCCUGGGGGAGGGACUCAGAAUCCGCCUCACACCCAUGGAGAGUUCUCGCAAUGGGUAUGGCAAACUUCCUGACCAACAGGCUUCUGGACUUCUGACUCAGCACCAGUCCUGCUCCUUCUGUCUCAAUGACUGUCCCCUGUCCCUGGAGAUGUAAAAGUUCCAGGCUCUCCUACCACACCUAGGCUGGACUUACUGAUUCCAAGGUGAAAAUAAGCCAUCACGUAUUGACCAUCUGUCAGCAAGUAUCUACCCUGCAAAAUACUUUUCACACACUCUCUCACUUAUCCUCACCAUGCCUAGAGAUGGGACUUUGUCUCCAUGUGACUUAUGAAGACACUGAGGACCAGCAAGGCGAGACAACUGUUUGAGGCCACACAGCAACAGAACCAGACCUCGAUCAAACCCAAAGCCCGUGCUCUGUCCGUGUGCUGCCUCCGAGAAGCCAUGGCCAAGAAAGGUCUUUGCACCAGAGCUCACCAAUGUCUCGGAGAGGUCCUCCCUUCCUGCCAGCCAUUGAUGAUCCUGGAGGAUGAACGGGUCGUCUAAAACAGAUGACGCUGGUGCGGGCCCCAGGGAGUUCCACCAAGAGCCUUAGGAUUUAUCAUGUGGGAGGGUAGUUAGUUCCCAAACGCAGAUGCUUGCUUUGAUGAAGAAAGCUGCUAUAUUGGAGAGGCCCAUGUGGCAAGAACUUGAGUGUAGCCUGUAGCCAGUAUCCAGUGGGCAAAUGAGGCUCUCAAUCCAACAGCCUACAAGGAAUUGAAUCCAACUGACAAGCAUGUGAGUGAGCUUGGAAGCCAACCCUGCCCCAGGCAAUUCACCAGGACAGAGGCCUUUCAACUUUCCUCCCUGAGAUCUUCCUCCGUGAACCAACAACAAAAGGACCAGCCACCUCACUGGUCCUCUGUUGCCAGUAGAAAAAGCCCUACAAGGAUUAAUGCAAGAAGAAGUUCUGCUUUGGCAUAUUGCAAUGCAACAGUGAAAGGAAUUUUAAAUGGGCAGCUUCUCCUUUUCUCCUACCUCCAGGCAUCUGCCUCUGAAAUGUUGAAGGUGGAGGGAGAUAGGAUUGGCCUUUCUGGGAAGACCUCUAAGAAAGGGGUUUCCAUUGAGAAGAAACUACGGGUAACAGUUAAAGAGGAAGAGCAUGUGUAAUGUAGGAAGCGCUUUUGCUUCAGAUAGAUGUCCUUCCCUCACCCCAGAGCACAGUAACCCUAAUGCUAUGUCCUGCAUCUGUCUGGAGGGGUUGUCUAGCCUGGCCCACAUCCUGAGCCCUCUCCACAUGGGCAACCACACAGCCGACAUCGUGAGAGGUCUGAGCCCCUCAGACUCUUGAAGGUCAAUGGAUAUUGUGUAUCUUUUUUCUACACUGCUUCAAUGCUUUUCAACCAUUAUUUUUUUUUAUUUUUUUAUUUUUUUACAACCUUGAGUGUUUUAACGAUUUGCUUCUUUAAAGGCUUUGCUUCCCUCUGAAUAUUAUGACUAGCCUAUUGGGUCAGAGGCCAGGAGUCUGCAGAGGACCAUUCAUUCACCCCAGAGGCCGCUCCUUGCUUUUAUCCUGUCCUCAACAUGAUAGCUCAAACUGCCAGAUUUUACAUAGGAGGAAGGAAGACACCGAAAGAUGUUCCUAGCUGGCACAGGCUGUGCUGAACACAGGUCUCACCCCACUGUGGGCAGGUGGUGGUGGAGCACAUCUGUCUCUCUCCGUGUUGGUGGCUGUGAUUUGGCAGCUCUGCCGAAGAUUUGUGAGAUGGAGAAGAAAGUGCAGGGUUGGGGUACGGGGAAAGGGGUAAGAAAGGAGAUUAGUCACUUGAGUCAGGAUAAUUUUUCCUGAUGUCAAAGCCUCACCCAGGAGAGCUCUCGCUGUUGCCUGCUUUUAUCUGGAAAACAAUGUGAGCAGUAUCUCUCAAAAUUAGGUCAGGGCUUGCAGAGGCAGGGACUUGCCAAGGUGCUAACUGCCUGAAUCCUCGGUGGGUUUGCACAGCUCUCUGCUCUGACAAAUGCCUCCUUUGUCUCCCUGAAAAGCCUGCCUCUUUUCUCCUUCACCCCUCCACUCCCCCCACAAACAACUGAAUUUGGAAGGUUAAAAAUCACUUCACUUGUCAACUCGAAAGCUCUCCCUCCCACCUCAAGUUGUUUCUCUUCCUGCCCAGGGAAGGCAGCUACUGUGUGUCCCCCUGGGGACUGGAACCACUUUGCAAAGAGCGCAGAUCUGCAGUUUUCACAACGCAGUUGUCAUCUCGGGAGCAGUGUGUGCCCGUCCACCCUGGGAGAGGCUUAUGAAGGCUGUGUCUCAAGCAUUUCAGGGGGCUGCAGAUUUAGGGGGACAGUCCUGGUGGCUUGGUCUUAGGCUUGUCUUGGCUCAGGUUUCUGUGUGGCAACAGCAUGAUAAAAAUUCUGUCCACUCUACCAAAAUGGGAGAAGCAAUAGCAAGACAGCAGGGCAGCAACAGUCAGUUCUUGUCUGGCUUUCCAGGACAACGUGACUUUCUCUUAUUUUUUGUUCCUGACACUGUUUGCACUGACUAAGAUAUCACGAUGAUGAAACACUGUUGAAUCUAAAAGGUGGGUGGGGCUGAAGGAGGGGUGGGAGGAGGCCUUAGAAGCUAAUUAGAAUCCUCUAGAAGUGUGUGGAAAUGGGAACCUGAGCCAGGAGAGUCCUGUGGAUUCACUAGAUUCUGGGACUAUACCUUAUCUAUGCUGUGCAAAGGAAUAAGAAACUAGUGCUGUCUCGGGAACCAGCAACACAGAUGUUCCCAGGAGCAAUGUUUGCAGGGUUCUAUGAGGCUGAAAAUAUUGGAUCAGUAUUCCUGAGGAAUCUGCGUUUCAGAAUCCCAGGUCCGGAAGGACAAGAAGUACUUUGCAAACAAAUCAAAUGUACGUUUAGGAAGAUGAAAUCAUGCAACAGAAAGAUUUUUCAGAAUUUUUCAGCAACAGAUUUUACACACAAUUCAGAAGGAAGAAAGAACAGAUGAGUUUGGGAAUCAGGAGACCAGAUGUCAAGACUGGACUACAUCUUUAUAUUCAUUUCCAGAUUUAAAGUUCUAUGUUGUAUUUUAUUUGAUGCAAAGCAAUAAAAUAUUCCUCCCUCCUGUGACCACCG